AUUGAACGAUGGCGGCAGGCCUAACACAUGCAAGUCGAGCGAGCGGCGGACGGGUGAGUAAUGUCUGGGAAACUGCCAGAUGGAGGGGGAUAACUAAUGGAAACGGUAGCUAAUACCGCAUACCAUCAGAUGUGCCCAGAUGGGAUUAGCGAGUAGGUGGGGUAACGGCUCACCUAGGCGACGAUACCUAGCUGGUCUGAGAGGAUGCCCAGCCACCCGGGAACUGAGACACGGUCCAGACUCCUACGGGAGGCAGCAGUGGGGAAUAUUGCACAAUGGGCGCAAGCCGGAUGCAGCCAUUCAGCGUGUGUGAAGAAGGCCUUCGGGUUGUAAAGCACGUUCAGCGGGGAGGCGUUACCCGCAGAAGAAGCACCGGCUAACUCCGUGCCAGCAGCCGCGGUAAUUC
rnacentral:rRNA from 1 species